UACGUAGGGCGCAAGCGUUGUCCGGAAUUAUUGGGCGUAAAGAGCUCGUAGGCGGUCUGUCGCGUCGGAUGUGAAAGCCCGGGGCUUAACCCCGGGUCUGCAUUCGAUACGGGCAGACUAGAGUGUGGUAGGGGAGAUUGGAAUUCCUGGUGUAGCGGUGGAAUGCGCAGAUAUCAGGAGGAACACCGAUGGCGAAGGCAGAUCUCUGGGCCGUAACUGACGCUGAGGAGCGAAAGCAUGGGGAGCGAACAGG
rnacentral:rRNA from 1 species